UACGUAGGGUGCGAGCGUUGUCCGGAAUUACUGGGCGUAAAGAGCUCGUAGGUGGUUUGUCGCGUUGUUCGUGAAAACUCACAGCUUAACUGUGGGCGUGCGGGCGAUACGGGCAGACUGGAGUACUGCAGGGGAGACUGGAAUUCCUGGUGUAGCGGUGGAAUGCGCAGAUAUCAGGAGGAACACCGGCGGCGAAGGCGGGUCUCUGGGCCGUAACUGACACUGAGGAGCGAAAGCGUGGGGAGCGAACAGG
rnacentral:rRNA from 1 species